GUGAUUGGAGGAAAGCAGGGGAUCGCAAGACCUUGCGCUUUUGGAGUGGCCGAUGCCUGAUUAGCUAGUUGGUGGGGUAAGAGCCUACCAAGGCGACGAUCAGUAGUUGGUCUGAGAGGACGACCAGCCACACUGGGACUGAGACACGGCCCAGACUCCUACGGGAGGCAGCAGUGGGGAAUUUUGGACAAUGGGCGAAAGCCUGAUCCAGCAAUGCCGCGUGAGUGAAGAAGGCCUUCGGGUUGUAAAGCUCUUUCAGUCGAGAAGAAAAGGUCGCGACUAAUAAUCGCGACUCAUGACGGUAUCGACAGAAGAAGCACCGGCUAACUACGUGCCAGCAGCCGCGGUAAUACGUAGGGUGCUAAGCGUUAAUCGGAAUUACUGGGCGUAAAGGGUGCGCAGGCGGCUUUGUAAGUCAGAUGUGA
rnacentral:rRNA from 1 species